rnacentral:tRNA from 1 species
CGGGGUGUAGCGCAACCUGGUAGCGCACUUGAUUUGGGAUCAAGUUGUUGGAGGUUCAAAUCCUCUCACCCCGACCA